AGGCAACACUUCUGUGAUUUUUUAUGACGGAUGAUGUGUUAUACUGCUCAUAAAAAAAAUUCUAUGGCUCUUCAGAUUUGCUGAGGUAACGGUGAAGCUGGUCUAGUAAGCUUUAGUACAUU